rnacentral:rRNA from 1 species
AACGAACGCUGGCGGCAGGCUUAACACAUGCAAGUCGAGCGCCCCGCAAGGGGAGCGGCAGACGGGUGAGUAACGCGUGGGAAUCUACCGAGCCCUGCGGAAUAGCUCCGGGAAACUGGAAUUAAUACCGCAUACGCCCUACGGGGGAAAGAUUUAUCGGGGUUUGAUGAGCCCGCGUUGGAUUAGCUAGUUGGUGGGGUAAUGGCCUACCAAGGCGACGAUCCAUAGCUGGUCUGAGAGGAUGAUCAGCCACAUUGGGACUGAGACACGGCCCAAACUCCUACGGGAGGCAGCAGUGGGGAAUAUUGGACAAUGGGGGCAACCCUGAUCCAGCCAUGCCGCGUGAGUGAUGAAGGCCUUAGGGUUGUAAAGCUCUUUCACCGGUGAAGAUAAUGACGGUAACCGGAGAAGAAGCCCCGGCUAACUUCGUGCUAGCCGCCGCGGUAAAAC